ensembl:lncRNA
CUGGACCGCUCGCCCCGGUUUCCUGGCCGUCCCUCCUCCAGUGAGGCGGCGGAAAGUGCCGACUGCAGGCCGCACUGCUGCACCUUAUGGGGCCACUCGAAGCCGGGCGGUCUUUCCCCUAGUCCCGGCGCAGAGCUGCAGGGCGCAGGGCGCUUCCCGCCGCCGUGUGUGUCGUCUCAGACCCUCCCGUGGUGUGUGCCCAGUGGUGGGAUUGCCGGACCACGAGACGAGUCGCGCUCUGUGAACAGUGACUGCAGCGCCGCAGCCACGCCUCGACUCCCCCUCGAGCCCAUCGCGGCGCCCGGGACGCAGCAGACACGCUGCGUGCAUGUCUCACGAAGGACCACAGACCCUGAGAAGCCUCACGCUCAGGCACUGGGACUGUAGGACCACAGAGACCCUGAGAAGCCUCACACUCAGGCACUGGGAUUGAGAAAAUCGACUCGCUUGACAGGUCGUCAAGGAUGUUCCUGAGUAAAACUGGCUUCUUCCCUUUCUUGGUGCCGUGGGUGAGGUGAACAGCAGGACUAUGGCCUGUGCUGGACGCCAGCUCCAGCCACUGCUGCUUUUCGUGGUUCGUGCAGCUGACAACACAGUGGAGACGGCAGAGGCGGGGUUCACAGUGUUAUGGAAAGCGUUUUGCCCUCGUAGACCUCCGAGAGCUUCUGGGGAACCCCCAGGGGUCCACAGACCACACUUUGAGAAUGACUGCUUUAAAGCUAGCCUCCAGCAAUAGGAAGAACAGAACAGGGCAGGUUUCGAGAUUAUCUGUUGCCUCUCAUCUUUCCUGGAAUUUGUUGGUUUUGUCUCAGAAUACCAAAGCGGUUCAAAGUGGGUCAGAAAGCAGUGGCGACAGCUCGCAACGUCUACAGCGCGUUUGGGCCAGGAACGGCUAAUGAACAUACACUGCAGCAGGGGUUCGUUUGCAAAGGAGACGAGAGCCUUGAAUACGGAGUGCAGUGGCCAACCGUCAGAAGCUGACAAUGAGCAAUGGACGGCCAUCAUCCACGCUGAUCCGCUAACAACUACGUAAGAAUCUGCCACAGAACUCAAGCGCCAACUGUGCUACGGUCAUUUGGCAUUUGAAGCAAAUUGAAGAGGUAAAAAGGCUAAGUGGGUGCCUCGUGAGGUGACCAAACAAUUUUUUAUAAAUGGUCAUUCUUAAGCCUUGUCUGUCUUCUCUUACUGUAUGCAAAACCUAAGAACCACGUCUCAGUUGGAUUGUGACGGGCGGUGAAAAGCGGAUUUUAUUCAACUGGCAAUGACCAGCUCAGUGGCUGGACUGAGGAGAAGCUCCAGAGCACUUUCCAGAGUCACACUUGCACCAAAAAUAGGUCAGGUCACUGGUGGUCUGCUGCCCCUCUGAGCCACGACAGCUUUCAGAAUCCCAGUGAAACCAUUCCACCUGAGAAGCAGGCUCAGCAGACCUGUUGGAAAUACACCAACAACUGCAACACAAGCCACCGUCAGUCAACAGAAAGGGCCCAGGUCUCCCCAGCGACGCCCGACCACGUCUCACAAGCAGUGCUUCGGGAGCUGAGCGACUGGGCUGUGGAGUUUUGCCUCCCUCACCAUAUUCACCUGCCUCUCACCAACAGACUCUGCCUCUUCAAGCAGCUCAGCGACUUUCUGCAGAGAAAGCAUUUCCACAACCAGCGGGAGGCAGAAGCUAUUUUCCAAGCGUUCAUCAGAUCCCAAAACAUGUAUUUUUAUGCUACAGAAAUAUUAACUAUAACUAUUUAUUGCUCCUUGGAAGAAAAGCUAUGAUCAGCCUAGACAGCGUAUUCAAAAGCAGAGACGUUACUUUGCCGACAAAGGUCCAUCUGGUCAAGGCUAUGGAUUUUCCAGUAGUCAGGUAUGGAUGUGAGAGUUGGACCAUAAAGAAGGCUGAGUGCUGAAGAAUUGAUGCUUUUGAACCGUGCUGUUGGAGAAGAUUCUUGAGAGUCCCUCGGACUGCAAGGAGAUCAGUCCUAAGUGUUCAUUGGAAGGACUGAUGCUAAAGCUGAAACUCCAAUACUUUGGCCACCUGAACUGAGUGAUUGGAAAAGCUGGGAAAGACUGAAGGCAGGAGAAGGGGCUGACAGAGGAUGAGAUGGUUGGAUGGCAUCACUGACUUGAUGGACAUGAGUUUAAGCAAGCUCCAGGAGUUGGUGAUGGACAGGGAGGCCUGGCGUGCUGCAGUCCCUGGGGUUGCAAAGAGUGACUGAUAACGAUUUAAAAUUCAUGGUCUGAAAUCACAAUUACUUUUGCACCAACCUAAUACACUUACUUUAAAGGUAGUUCUUUUACUCUGUUGGUUGUGAUGCAGUUCACAAAUGUGAGAUAUUGAACAACUGUCUUAAGUCCUUAAGCAUUUCUGGAAAAAUGGGGUUGUAUAUAUUUGUUUCGCUAUUUUCGCCAAAAUUUUAAUAAAUUUCAAAUGUUUAGCUGGAUUUGUCCUGUGUAAUUGGACAGUUUUUUCCAUAUUUCCUUCGAGACAUAUUUCCCACCGAACAAGAAACCAGCCUUCUGCCUCUCAGAGGGCCCUGAGCUGGGGUGUGCAUGGCCAGGCAGGGGUCCCUGUUUGGGGCUGACGGCCCUCAGAAGUGCUCUUGAGGAGUAUGAGAUUUAAGAGAUGCCCAGGAAUUUCUCCAGGCUUCUUUGCCAGUUGACACUUUUGAUUCCAUACAAGCCUCUUCCCCUCCUGAUGACCUAAGAAUCCUGUGGUUCAUCGGACUUAAGUUCGCCUUAUUUUGGCUGCACUGGCCCUUAGCUGCUGCGUGUGAGCUUUGCCUACCUGUGCUGAGCACAGGCUCAGGAGUCAUGGCUCAUGGCCUUAGUCGCUCCACAGCACGUGGGGUCUUCCCAGACCCGGGACCGAACCCGUGGCCCCUGCACUGGCAGGCGGUUUUCAACCACUGGACCGGUAGGAACGCUCCCAUUUCAAUAGUGCGCUUCCCUUGUUAUCACCGACUUGAAUUAACGACUUUGGCCCUAAAUGGAGCAGCCCUGUGGGCCUGCGAGGAGGUUAUUCAGAGGGUCCCACCCCCUCUCCUGGCCACACGCCACCCGUGCAGACAGCCAGGCUCAUUCAUUUCUGGCAGAUUGAUCCCGAGUUUCUGGCGCAAAUGAGCAGAUGCGCAGCCUCUGGCUGCUUUCUGCACGUUGUUCAGCCGCUGUCACGUCUGACCCUGCGGCCCCAGGAAACUGCAGCGCGCCAGCCUUCACUCUCCUCAGCUGUCUCCCAGUUUGUCCACAUUCAUUUCCGUGGAAUCAGUGAUGCUG